CCUACGGGAGGCAGCAGUAGGGAAUAUUGCUCAAUGGGGGAAACCCUGAAGCAGCAACGCCGCGUGGAGGAUGAAGGUUUUCGGAUUGUAAACUCCUUUUGUUAGAGAAGAUAAUGACGGUAUCUAACGAAUAAGCACCGGCUAACUCCGUGCCAGCAGCCGCGGUCAUACGGAGGGUGCAAGCGUUACUCGGAAUCACUGGGCGUAAAGAGCGCGUAGGCGGGAUAGCAAGUCAGAUGUGAAAUCCUAUGGCUUAACCAUAGAACUGCAUUUGAAACUGUUAUUCUAGAGUAUGGGAGAGGUAGGUGGAAUUCUUGGUGUAGGGGUAAAAUCCGUAGAGAUCAAGCAGAAUACUGAUUGCGAAGGCGACCUGCUAGAACAUAACUGACGCUGAUGCGCGAAAGCGUGGGGAGCAAACAGGAUUAGAUACCCCAGUAGUC
rnacentral:rRNA from 1 species